rnacentral:rRNA from 1 species
GAGUUUGAUCCUGGCUCAGGAUGAACGCUGGCGGCGUGCCUAACACAUGCAAGUCGAGCGAUUCUCUUCGGAGAAGAGCGGCGGACGGGUGAGUAACGCGUGGGUAACCUGCCCUGUACACACGGAUAACAUACCGAAAGGUAUGCUAAUACGAGAUAAUAUGCUUUUAUCGCAUGGUAGAAGUAUCAAAGCUUUUGCGGUACAGGAUGGACCCGCGUCUGAUUAGCUAGUUGGUAAGGUAACGGCUUACCAAGGCGACGAUCAGUAGCCGACCUGAGAGGGUGAUCGGCCACAUUGGAACUGAGACACGGUCCAAACUCCUACGGGAGGCAGCAGUGGGGAAUAUUGCACAAUGGGCGAAAGCCUGAUGCAGCAACGCCGCGUGAGCGAUGAAGGCCUUCGGGUCGUAAAGCUCUGUCCUCAAGGAAGAGUCAAGACUGUACCUGCAGAAGAAGCCCCGGCUAACUACGUGCCAGCCGCCGCGGUAAUUC